rnacentral:rRNA from 1 species
CCUACGGGAGGUAGCAGUGAGGAAUAUUGGUCAAUGGUCGGGAGACUGAACCAGCCAAGCCGCGUGAGGGAUGAAGGUACAGAGUAUCGUAAACCUCUUUUGUCAGGGAACAAAGGCGGGGACGCGUCCCCGGAGGAGUGUACCUGAAGAAAAAGCAUCGGCUAACUCCGUGCCAGCAGCCGCGGUAAUACGGAGGAUGCGAGCGUUAUCCGGAUUUAUUGGGUUUAAGGGGUGCGCAGGCGGUCUGUUAAGUCAGCGGUCAAAGCCCGGGGCUCAACCCCGGCCCGCCGUUGAAACUGGCAGUCUCGAGUUGGAGAGAAGUAUGCGGAAUGCGCGGUGUAGCGGUGAAAUGCAUAGAUAUCGCGCAGAACUCCGAUUGCGAAGGCAGCAUGCCGGCUCCACACUGACGCUGAGGCACGAAAGCGUGGGUAUCGAACAGGAUUAGAUACCCUAGUAGUC